GGAAGGGACUUCACAAUUUUCACUUAUAUACAAACAAGAGUUGAAAGAAAAGGAUCCAGGAAUAGAGAGCAUUGAAAAAUUACAUGAAAAAAAAUAAUUAAUUUUCACUUUUUGAGAUGAAAAAUAGCCCAAGUAUAUCUGUUGAUCUGCAGGCAAUAGUAUUGAAAAUUCAAUAGCUUAUCAUAGAAUUUCUUCUCAACCAUCCACAGAAAGGAGAGCUUCU
rnacentral:misc_RNA from 1 species